rnacentral:lncRNA from 1 species
GCUGACGUCACUACCCUGGCUUGGAGAGGCUGUUGCUGAGCCGGCUCCAACCGGCUGGAAGGCGGGAAGCUGUUUCGCCUGGAGGCUCGCGCGCUUUUUGGAAUUCAGUUAUCAAGCUUUAGAGCCUGGCUACUCACAGUUGAAGCCUGAUUGCAGGUCAGCAAUGCUAAACGUUAAAUGCCUCUUAUAUUUAGGGGAUAAGGACUCCGUGGAGGUUUUCUCUGGUCCCAGCUCCUGCUUUUUACUUUUCUUGGGGGUGGGAGGGAUAGAUCAAGCCCCCAUUAAUUUUUACUGCCACCGUCGACUCUUGUGUAGAAAGCUUUGAAGUCUGAGACCUGGGUUUUCAGCUCAACAUCUCAGCUUGGUUCCUUGACUGCAAAGUAGGUAUAAUUGUUUGUAGCCCAGACUGCUUGGAUUUUAACGAAGAUAAGUAACUCUGGUAAUUAAACUUCGUACCUCAGCUUUCUGGCCUAUAGAUGGGAAUAAUAAUAGUACCUGCAAGUGAAAUAAAUUAUACAUAGAAAAGUGUUAGAACAGUACCUGGCAUUAAGAUUAAAUGAGAUUGACUGGGCGCGGUGGCCCACGCCUGUAAUCCCAGCAGUUUGGGAGGCCAAAACGGAUGGAUCAUUUAAAGUCAGGAGUUCUAGGCCAGGUGCGGUGGCUCACGCCUGUAAUCGCAGCACUUUGGGAGGCUGAGGCGGGCGGAUCACAAGGUCAGGAGAUGAGACCAUCCUGGCUAAUACGGUAAAACCCCGUCUCUACUAAAAAUACACACACACACAAAAAAAAAUUAGCCGGGCGUGGUGGCGGGCGCCUGUAGUCCCAGCUACUCCGGAUGCUGAGGCAGGAGACUGGCGUGAACCUGGGAGGCGGAGCUUGCAGUGAGCCGAGAUCGCGCCACUGCACUCCAGCCUGGGCGGCAGAGCGAGACUCCGUCUCAGAAAAUAAAUAAAUAAAGUCAGGAAUUCAGGACCAACCUGGCCAACUUGGUGAAAUCUCGUCUCUACCAAAAAUACAAAAAAAGUAGCCGGGCGUGGUGGUUUGCGCCUGUAGUCCCAGUUACUCGGGAAGCUUAAGCAGGAGAAUCGCUUGAACCCGCGAGGCGGAGGUUGCAGUGAGCCGAGAUUCCAGCCUGGACUACAGAGCGAGACUCCGUCUCAAAAAAAAUAAAAAAUAAAAAAUUAAAUGAUACUAAAUCUUCUCAAACUGCUCUUCCAUUUAAGCGUCAUCGUUAGAUGUCUGCAAGCAUUUCUCGCCUACGGGGGUCCAAUGCCCUAAAAUAACCUAGUGAACUGUUCCCAGACUCGCCUUAUUCUUUUAGGUCUCCUUUCCUCUGCUCAAACUUACACUUACUCCCUUUCCACAGGCUGAAAUCUUACCCUUAAAAUAAUCAGACACAUGAGCAAAAGAUAUGUAUUAACAGAUGUUCAUUGCACCAUCCAGCAAUGGAGGACUGGUUAAAAAUAUCACAAGAUUUAUCUCUGCAAUGGAAUAUCACACAGCAAACUGAUGCUAAUGUACGAUGACUGACAGAAAGGCAACCACCGUAUUAAAUGAAGAAAAGCAGAAUAUGAAAGUGUUUUACGUAUAUAUACUUACCACUUUAGCAUCCUAAUCUGAAAAUCCAAAAUCUGAAAUACUCCAAUGAGCAUUUCCUUUGAGAGUCAUGUCAGUGCUUAAAAAGUUAGAUUUUGGAGCGUUUUGAGUUUUGGAACAUUUAGGUUUUUUUUUUUUUUUCUCUUGAGGCAGAGUCUUGCUCUGUCGCCCAGGCCGGAGUGCAGUGGUGCGAUCUCGGCUCACUGCACCCUACACCUCCCAGGUUCAAGCGAUUCUCCUGCCUCAGCCUCCUGAGUAGCUGGGAUUACAGGCGUGCGCCACCACGCCCGGCUAAUUUUUGUAUUUUUUCUUUUUCUUUUUUUUUUUUUGAGACGGAGUCUCGCUCUGUCGCCCAGGCUGGAGUGCAGUGGCACAAUCUCGGCUCACUGCAAGCUCCCAAGCUCCGCCUCCUGGGUUCACUCCACUCUCCUGCCUCAGCCUCCCAAGUACCUGGGACUACAGGCGCCUGCCACCGCCCUGGCUAAUUUUUUUGUAUUUUUAGUAAAGAAGGGGUUUCACCAUGUUGGCCAAGCUGGUCUGAACUCCUGGCCUCAAGUGAUCCACCCAACUCGGCCUCCCCAAGGAUUGGGAUGACAGGCGUGAGCUAACGCGCCUGGCCCAGAUUUUUGAAUUAGGGAUACUCAACCUGUUAUAAAUAUAUAUAUAUAUAUAUAUAUAUAUAUAUAUAUAUAUAUAUAUAUAUAUUUUUUUUUUUUUUUUUUUUUUUUUUUUUUUUGACACUGAGUCUCGCCCUUUCACCCAGGCUGGAGUGCAGUGGUGCGAUCUCGGCUCACUGCAAGCUCUGCCUCCUGGGUUCAAGUGAUUCUCGUGCCUCAGCCUCCUUAGUAGCUGGGAUUACAGGCUCCCACCACCACACCGGGCUAAUUUUUGUAUUUUUAGUCGAGACAGGAUUUCACCAUAUUGGUCAGGCUGGUCUUGAACUCCUGACCUCAGGUGAUCCACUGGCCUUGGCCUCCCAAAGUGCUGGGAUUACAGGCGUGAGCCACCACAUCCAGCCUCAACCUGUAUAUAGCUUAAAAAAAUUAAAAGUGGUUAUAUCUACAUUGUGUGUCACAUAAAUUUACUCUUUUUAUCUGUUUUCUGAUUUUUCUUUAUUGAACUGAUGUAAGAACAACAAAGUCUUAAAACAGUAUUCAUACUCUUUCAAAGUUUGUCUCAAAUGCCAUUUUUUCCAGUUUGUUGUUUUGUUUUGACAGGGUCCCCCUCUGUCGCCCAGGCUGGAGUGCAGUGGCACGGUCUUGGCUCACUGCAACCUCUGCCUCUCAGGUUCAAGCGAUUCUCCUACCUCAGCCUUCUGAGUAGUUAGGAUUAUGGGCGCCUGCCACCAUGCCUGGCUAAUUUUUGUAUUUUUAGUAGAGACAGGGUUUCACCAUGUUGCCCAGGCUGGUCUUGAACUCCUGGACUCAAGCAAUCCGUCUGCCUUGGCCUCCCAAGGUGUUGGGAUUACAGGUGUAAGCUAUGGCGCCUGGCCCUCAUUUUUUCCAGUGUUUUUAACAAAUAUAGAGAUAAAAGUUUAAAUAAUAAUGCAAUGAAUACCUGUAUAACUACCACCUUGAUUAACAUUUUAGUGUGUUUGCUUUAUAUGUAUGUAUUUACGUACAUAGUUUUUUUUUUGGCAGGGGGAGCCAGAUUAUUUUUUAUUUUUAUUUUUCUGCCUAGAGUCUUUUAGUAUUACAGUUUGAGGUUUUGUUCACAGAAUAAUAUGAAAAUAAAUUACAGACAUUGUGACAAUCCCAAAAUGGUCAAUUUGUAUUUUCUGUGAAUAAUGACAUUCUCUUCCAUAUUCACAUAAGAUAUAAGGGGGCUGAGUGUGGUAGCUCACGCUUGUAAUCCCAGCACUUUGGGAGGCCAAGAGGGGAAGAUCACUUGAGCACAAAAGUUUGGGACCAACCUGGGCAACAUCGCAUGACCCCUCUACAAAAAAUUUUAAAAAUUAGCUGAUUUUGGUGUCGCAUGCCUGUGGUCCCAGCUGCUUGGGAAAUGGGAGGAUUGCUUGAGCCCAGGAGUUAAAAGUUGCAGUGAGCUAUGAUCACACCACUGCACUCCAGCCUGGGCAACAGAGAGAGACCCUGUUUCAAAAAAUGUAAAUUGAUGAUUAGAAAAAAAUCAUAAGUAGGCCAGCCACGGUGGCUCACGCCUGUAAUCCCAGCACUUUGGGAGGCUGAGGUGGGUGGAUCACAAGGUCAGGAAAUCGAGACCAUCCUGGCUAACACGGUGAAACCCCAUCUCUACUAAAAAAUACAAAAAAAAAAAUUAGCUGGGCGUGGUGGGGGGGGCGCCUGUAGUCCCAGCUAUUGGGGAGGCUGAGGCAGGAGAAUGGCGUGAACCCGGGAGGUGGAGCUUGCAGUGAGCUGAGAUCUCGCCACUGCACUCCAGCCUGGGAGACUGAGUGAGACUCCAUCUCAAAAAAAAAAAAAAAAGAAAAAAAUCAUAAAUAGAAAGAUUUCCUCACAAUAGCAAUAACAACUAUAAAACAUCCAGGAACAGCUCUUUUCCUGGUCACCUAUGACUUCCCAAUUGCCAAAUGCACUGGUCAGUUUUAGUCCUCUUUAUCUUAUGGGAUUCUACCAGCAGUAUUUGAUGAAGUUGAUCACUCCCUUCUUUUGGAACCUUUUUUUAAAAACACACACACACACAACAAAGUCUUAACAGUGAAAAUAAAAAUAAAUAAAUAAAACAAGGUCUUGCUUUCACUCAGGCUGGAGUGCAGUGGCACAAAUCAUGGCUCCCUGUGGCCUCAAGCUCAAGCAAUCCCCCUGCCUCAGCCUCCCAAGUGACUAGGACUACAGGCAUGCACUGCUGUGCCCAGCUAAUUUUUAAGUUUUUUUGUAGAGAUGAGGGUCUCGCUUUGUUGCCCAGGCUGAUCUUGAACUCCUGGCCUCAAGUGAUCCUGUUGCCUCAGCCUUCCAAAGUGCUGGGAUUAUAGCUAUGAGCCACUGUGUCCGGCCUGGAAACAUUUUCUUCACUCGACAUCCAGAACACAAGUCUAUUGGUUUUGCAACUACUUUUUUGCCCACAAUUAUGUGUGUGUGUGUGUGUGUGUGUGUGUGUGUGUGUGUCAGCCAACAUCAUUCAUAAAACAAAUACAACACUAUUAACACAUAUAUUGCAAUAUUUUUGUGACUAUGAAUUUUGUCAAUUGCAAUGUUUCCAUGAAUCCCCCAGGUGGCAGACAAAUACAAUUUCCAUCUAACAAUUAAACAAACUUGGUAAGAACAUUGCUUCCUUAUCAUGAAUCCUUCAGAAAUAUUAAUCAGAAUUUUAGAAUACGGUCCAUUUAUCAUAUGAUUAAGAAACUAACUUCUUAUAAUUUACCUGAGAGUUUUAUUAGAAACAUAAAUGGAAAUUAUUUAAUUGGUGAACAAUCAUUGUAAUUAAACACUCUCAAAAAUACAUAUUUUAUGUGAUUCAUCAUCCCAAGCACUUAGAAAUGUAUCUGCUGGCUAUGAAAACUAGUUUUGGAAUUUUCUUUGGAAUCUGAAAACAAAAAUCAAUUAAACAUCACUUAUAAUAAAGCAAAAAGCUCAUAACCAACUGAUGGAAUUUUUAUUUUUAUUUUUAUUUUUUUUUUUUUGAGACAGAGUCUCACUCUGUCGCCCAGCUUGGAGUGCAAUGGUGUGAUCUUGGCUCUCUGCCACCUCCACCUCCCGGGUUCAAGCGAUUCUCCUGCCUCAGCCUACCGAGCAGCUGGAACUACAGGCUCAUGCCACCACGCCCAGCUAAUUUUUAUAUUUUUAGUACAGACGGGAUUUCACCAUAUUGGCCAGGCUGGUCUCGAACUCCUGACCUCAUGAUCCACCCGCCUCGGCCUCCCAAAGUGCUGGGAUUACAGGCGUGAGCUACCAUGCUCGGCCUGGGAUUUUUAAAAUUCUUUGGAGAUUUCUAUAGUUAUUUCUUAUUUAAAACUCAUGCAUGUCAGAGUUAAAACUGCUCAUAAAAGGCUGGGUGUCUGUUCUACUUGAUAUAAUAUAUACACUUGCUAUAAAUACAUUGUGUACUCUCCCCUCCUCUUUCUAACAGCUGUAUUUUCCUAAUGUUUCUUUAUAUUUUGAUCUAUUUUACAGAAAACGUUAACAUGCCUGUGACUACAGCUAUAUAGAGGGACGGGCAAAUAUUUUAACAGCUUGUGUGAGAGGGACACAAAUAUAUCUGGGAUUUUAUUUUUAAAGUAUGUAUAGCACUUCCAAAUAAUGAAUUCCCUCUGUAACAUGAGGAAACUGACUGGAAUGACUAUUGACUCAUCUUCAAUUAGAAUGUUGGUUAAACACAUCUUACACACAUUUCCUAAAUUUAAUUGACUCUAUUGCUUGAGUUUAAAAUUAUUUGAAAAAUAAAAUAACUGGAGAUAAUCGGUUGAAAAGCAUGAGCAUUGCUAAAUUAUCUUCAUUAUUCUAAAUGUUUUUAAAGCUUUCUUAAAUCAUCAAAAUAUUAAAACAACAUUGGAAAAAACAGAGAAAAAAGCUAAUCAUAAUCUCACCACUUUGAAAAACUAUUUUUUAUUUCUCAUAGUCCCUUUUUGUCUUCAAUUACAUGCAUACACUUUUGUCCAUUGUAGUGAAUAUUAGGCAUAUAUAAUUUUUAUUAAUGUGGAGGGCUAUUUGGGGUUUCAUUUUAUUUAUUUAGAGACAGGAGUCUCACUCUGUUGCCCAGGGUGGAAUGCAGUGGCACGAUCAUAGCUCACUGCAGUUUUGAACUCCUGAGCUCUAUCAAGGGAUCCUCCUGCCUUGGCCUCCCAAAGUGCUUGGACUACAGGCGUGAGCCACCCUACCCCGGCCUAUUUUUGCUUUUAAAAGAUGUGGGACCUAUGCUAACUAGUAUGACAUAGACUCUUCUGCCUCCUAUUGUCCUCCUAAGAGAAGAAGCUAAAUACCUCUGUCUAGGGUGGACACUUGAGUCAGAAUCUACCCAGUAGAUGCACUCCACACUGAUGAAUUAACAGUCUAACGUACUUAAAAGAUUAAUGCUCAAAGGAGAGAGAGAAUAUGUGGACACUGGUGUAGUCAGUCCUAGAAUUGCCUUGGCUGUGAAAUGGCUUGUAAUUUUAAACCAUAUAUGUCCUUACGGUCGAACCCUUUUUCCCUAAGACUGAAUGAACGUUUGUUCUUUGGAACCCAAAGUGUCACACAACCACAUUUUGACAAAUUAUCAAUUCAUGUCCUCUUUCCUCUUCUUUUUCUAUGUUCACUCACCUUUUAUGUGGGCCUGUUCACCUAAUGAUUCAUUUGAAAUAGAAGUAAUUUUUAAAACCAGAAGUAAUUUUUAAAAACAGAAAUUUUUACCAACUCUGAAAACAACUUGGUGUUGUUUAAAAGUAAUGAAUAUGUUAGAACUUUCCUUCCACAAGUUUCAUUAUUAUUCUUUAUCCUGGGAAUUAUAUAAAGGAUUUAUUCAUUUUCUAAGAGAAAAAUCUAUAAUUCCAUAAAUUUACAUAAUUUAAAAUGCCAUGUCUGUUUUCACUACAUGAACUUGACCCACAAAGGCCUCUCAGUAAAGUGUGUGUGCCUCAUAAUCUUUGGUGUGAUAAUACUCUGCACAGUAAUACAAUACUACUUCUAUACUCAGUAUGGUGACUUUCGUCCAAAGACUCCUCUAAAUUCCUUUUAUGAGGCAAAAAACACUUAGACUCUAUGAUGGUCAUUUUAUUGUUUACUACUAAUAGUACACAGAGGAUGGAAUGUGCUAUCUCUGGCACGAAGAGUUCUGCUGGAAGUUUAGAGAGAAUAAAAUGUCUUCAUACUUCAACGACCAAAGAGAAAACACUUGUGGAAAAGAGAGCAAGCAAAGUUCCAAGAAGUAUAUAUUUAUUAUCUCUGUGCUGGUUAGUUGGAACUCUUUGUCAAUGAGGUCAUAGUUUUUAAUCCCGGUGUGGCUCAUUUAUCUCUACUAGUUUCCUUAAUCAUAACAUGCACCCCUGACCCCAGCCAACUGCUUGACAAGGGUCUUUUCUUGAGCAAAAUGGGGCCUAAAAAGAGAAUAAAAUAAUCUGUGCAAAUCCACCACUGUAAUUGGAAAAAUAAUUUAAAAUGUCCAAUUAACAAAGAAUUUAUAGACUCAUAUUUUCGUCUAGACCUAGUUAGCAGUCAUAUACAGUAGUCUGCAUACAUAGGCACUGCCUAUGUAUACAGACCAUCACGAGGUCAACAGAUGGAGACCAGCCUGGCCAACAUGGCAAAACCCCAUCUCUACUAAAAAUACAAAAUUUAGCCGGGCGUGGUGUCGGUUGCCUGUAAUCCUAGCUACUCGGGAGGCUGAGGCAGGAGAAUGGUUUGAACCCAGGAGGCAGAGGUUGCAGUGAGCCCAGAUCGUGCCACUGCACUCCAGCCUGGGUGACAAGAGCGAGACUCUGUCUCAAAAAAAAAAAAGAAAAAAGAAAAAAAAUUGCUUGAAGCACAUCAAAUCCUACAGCAGUGAAGAAAAAAUAAUAAUUUUUACUCCUUUGGCUACCUUGGUCACAUAAUCACUAGUAAAAUAAUUUGAUGCCAUCUAUGUGUUGGAAAGGAUGUAAUAUAUUCCUUAGCAUCUAACUUGGAAAUACAACUACGUGAAAAUUGGUUGAUGACGAUCACUGUAGUAUUAUUCAACAAUAAACCUGUCGGACACAGUGGCUCACGCCUGUGAUCCCAGCACUUUGGGAGGUCGAGGUGGGAGGAUCACCUGAGGUCAGGAGUUCGAGACCAGCCUAACCAAUAUGGCAAAAACCCAUCUCUACUAAAAAUACAAAAAUUAGCUGGGCAUGGUAGUGGGCGCCUGUAAUCCCAACUACUCGGGAGGCUGAGGCAGGAGAAUUGCUUGAACCCAGGAGGCGGAGUUUGCAGUGAGCCGAGAUCGUGCCAUUGCACUCCAGCCGGGAUGACAUAGCAAGACUCUGUUUCAAAAAAUAAAUAAAUAAAAUAAUAAACCAAAAUGUAGGCUUUUCAGCAAACUAAUUGAGUAAUGAUUUUUCUCUUAAAGGGAAAUCCUAAAAAGAAAUUCACUAAGGAAGUCAAAUAAAAGAAUGUACAAUUUUUAUACAUGACAAAAACCAACAAACAUAACCUGCUGUAUUAGAAGUUUUUUGUUUUGGACUCAAAUUUUUGUGUAGGUAUAUAUUGACAUACAAGAAAUUAGUCACAUUGUGUCACUGUAUGAUCCUCACCUAUAAAAUAAUUUGCCUUCACAUUUUGGGAAUCUAAGUCUUGUGAGUGACAAGUUUGGGGACCGUUUAUGCUGUCUUCUUACUCCUACUUGCACCAGGGACCAUUACCAUAGCUCUUUUUAGAAAGGAAAAGUAGUUGUUUCUUCUUCUUGCCUCAUGAAAGUUCCAUAUGCCCUAUUCUUCAUCAUGUCUGAAAACGUAAGUAGAAUUAUUUAAAAGCCUCAUGUUUAAAUAUUUAAUCUGCAAGCCAUUAUUGAGGUCCUGCUCUGUAUCUUGAAUCUUUUGUACACUGUGAUUCAAAUAUAAGUGGCAUACAGCCUCUGCCUUCCAGAAACUCGGUGUAGAUUUAAAUGCCUAGUUACUAAAUUCCUUUAAAAAAUAAAUAAAUUCGGCCGGGCGCAGUGGCUCACGCCUGUAAUCCCAGCACUUUGGGAGGCCAAGGAGGGCAGAUCAUGAGGUCAAGAGAUCGAGACCAUCCUGGCCAACAUGGUGAAACUCCGUCUCAACUAAAAAUACAAAAAUUAGUUGGGCGUGGUGGCAUGAGCCUGUAGUCCCAGCUACUCAGGAGGCUGAGGCGGGAGAAUCACUUGAACCUGAGAAGUGGAGGUUGCAGUGAGCUGAGAUUGCGCAUUGCACUCCAGCCUGGCAACAGAGCAAGACUCUGCCUCAAAAAUAAAUAAAUAAAUAAAUAAAUUCUAGACUUCUCUUUCAUGAAGGUAUUUAAACAUUAGGGUGCAACUAUAAAAACAUUAGGAUGCAGCAGUAAGUUUGCCAACAAUGUUAGAUUUUUAAAAUACGAAGCUGUCAAUUGUCCCCAAAUUGAUCUAUAGUUUCAAAGCAAUUACAAUCAAAAUACCCGCAGAUUUUUUUUAAGGAUAUUGAUGAGCUUAUUCUAAAAUCCAUAUGGGAAAAGAAGAACAAAAUUGGAGGUCUUACACUACCUAGUUUCAAGACUUAUCAAAACAGUGCCACACUAUCCAGUGUCCUGGACACUUUGUUGUUUUGAAGACUAGUCAAGUGCAGCAGUGAGAAGGAGGGAAAGAGAACAAGGAGUUCAAUCUGUAACUGACUGUGAACAAUCAAUUGAGAUAACACACUACCUUUGGACCAGCCCUGGACACUUUGGAAAACAGUUUGUCAGUCUCUUACAAGAUUAAACGUAUACUUACCAUAUGACCCAUCAAUCCCACUCAUGUAUUUUUCCAAGAUGAAUAAAAAUGUGUGUUCAUAUUAAAACCCAUACACAAAUGUGCAUAGCAGCUUUAUUUAUAAUCUCUAAAAACUGGAAAAUAAAUCAAAUGUCUUUCAAUUAAUGUUGGAUAAAUGAAUUAUGGUAUCUAUAUAAUGAAAUACUAUUCAGCCAUUAAAAGGAAUAACUAUUAUAUGUGGAAUAGUAUAGAUGAAUCCCAAAUGCAUUAUGCUUAGUAAAAGAAGCCAGACUCAAAAGACUACAUACUAGUUUAUUCCAUUUAUAUGACAUCCUGGAAAAAGAAAAAUUGUAGGGUUGGAGACUAGAUGAGUGGUUGCUGAGGUAAGUAUAGAAGAAGUGUUUUACUAUGAAGGGGCAAUAUGAGAAUGUUUUUGGGUGGUAUAUGUGUCUUCACUGUGGGGCAUUUCCAAAAUUCUGGCCAGGCGCAGUGGCUCAUGCCUGUAAUCUUAGCACUUUGGAGGCCGAGGUGGGUGGAUUGCCUGAGCUCAGGAGUUCAAGACCAGCCUGGGCAACAUGGCAAAACCCCAUUUCUACUAAAAAUACACACCAAAAACAAAACAAAACAAAAAAUACAAAAUUCUAUGCAUUUGUUAAACUCAUAGAGCUAUACACGAGAAAAUAAUGAAUUUUACCGUGUAUAAAUUUAAAAAUACUGGCCAGGCAUGGUGGCUCAUACCUGUAAUUCCAGCACUUUGGGAGGCUGAGGCUGGUGGAUCACUUGAGGUCAGGAGCUCGAGAUCAGCCUGGCCAACAUGGUGAAACCCCGUCUCUAAUAAAAAUACAAAAAAUAGCCGGGCAUGGUGGUGCACGCCUGUAAUUCCAGCUGCUCAGGUGGCUGAGGCAGGAGAAUUGCCUGAGCCUGGGAGGCAGAGGUUGCAGUGAACCAAGAUCGUGCUACUGCACUCCAAACUGGGCAACAGAGUAAGACAGGGUCUCAAAAUAAAUAAAUAAAUAAAUAAAUAAAUAAAUAAAUAAACCAAAGAACCAAAACAUCCAUUGACAGAUGAAUGGAGAAUAUUACGCAGCCUUAACAAAGAAAGGAUUUCUGUCAUAUGCUAUCACAUGGAUAAAUCUUAAGAACAUUAGGCUAAAUGAAAUAAAUCAUUCACAAAAAGACAAAUACUGUACACUUCUAUUUAUAUGAAGUAUCUAAAGUAGUCAAAAUCACAGAAACAGAAAGUAGAAAGGUAGUUGCCAAGGGUAUUGAUGGAUAGAGGAAGGGAUAAAUACUGUUCAAUGGGUAUAGAGUUUCAGUUUUGCAAGAUGAAAAAGUUCUAGAGAUUUAUUUCACAACAAUGUGAAUAUACUUAACAGUACUGAACUGUACACUUGAAAAUGCUUAGUGUUUUUAAUGUUAUGUGUUUUUGCCACAAUAAAAAAUAUAGAAAAAAAGAGUUAACUGAAGGAAGUUUAACAUAAGGCAGAUAUGAAUAAAAGUGUGGGCAGGUGUUAAAAGAACAUCAUAGUUUGUGAAGCACAUAGGACUGGCAUCGUCAGCCAAAAGAGAGGAAGGAUCCAAUACUAGGAUCUGGCAGGAACUAUGGCUAUGGGGAAGAAUACUCAGCAGAAGCUGUGCCCCUGGGUAGAGGAAUGCAGCCAUUGCCCAACCUCCCAGACAGAAGCUGGGAGGGCCAGGGAGCCAGAAUAAUGCAAUCCAUAGAGGUCAGCGAGGGCUUUGCAGCAUGGCUGUGGUGAGCAAAUGGAGGAUAGGUAGCAUAACCUCUCUAUCAAUAAGGUUUCCUUGGUGCAAGUAUCAGAAGCCUACUCUGGCUAACUUAAAUAGGAAGAGCUAUAGGGGAGGUCACAUGAAUCCAAGAAAAGUCCAAAGAAACAUUGAGAAGACCAGGACAGCUUUGGAGAUGGCAAAAUAGAAUUUUUAGAUUGUCUCUUUAGGGUAUUGUUGCCAGAGCGAAUAAUCUCUAUUAAUGUCAUUUUGACCCUUGUGUACAGAAUUGUUUUUUCUCUCCAAGGUUUUUUUAUUAUACAAAUGUCAAACAAACACAUAGAAAAGUUAACAGAAUAGUACAAUACCGAUAUAGCCUCUACCUAGUUUAAUACUUGUUAACAUUUUGCUAUAUUUCCUCUUACUCUCUAUGUGUGUACAUAUACAUUUCAUUUUUUGUUAAUCUUCUUGAAAAUAAGUUGAUGACAUUCUGAUACCUUAGCUCUAAAUAUCUUAGUACAGGUCUCCUAAGAAUUAGGACAAUCUUUUACAAAACCACAAUACAUUGUCAUCUAAAGAAAAUUAGCUAUAAUUUCAUAAUAUCAUCUAAUCUGCAGCUCAUAUUCAAAUUUUGCCAAUUGCCCUGGUAAGAUGGGUUUUAUUUGUUUGAACAAAAAUCCAAUCAAUUUUCACACUUUUUUUUUCUUCAUGAUAUAUGACUUGUUGAAAAAGGCAGGCCAGUUGUUUUACAUUCUGGAUUUGUCUUUUUUAUUUCCUCAGGGUGUCAUUUAAUUUAUACCUCCAUUCCUGUUUCUUUUAAGAUGAAAGGUAGCCCUGGAGGGUUGGUAAUAACACUUGAGAGGUGAUAUUGUAUACUUUAUAUUGCAUCACAUCAUGAGACACUUAAUGUCAGUGCUGAGCUUGAUCAGUUGAUUGAGGUGAUCUGCUCAGGAUUUAAAUUUCAGGGAAGUUACACACUGAGUAUAAGGCAACUAUAAUUGUUGUAUUCAUUUAUUUAUAUUUUUAUUUUUUGAGACAGGGUCUUGCUUUGUCACCCAGGCUGGAGUACAGUCGUGCAAACAUGGCUCACCGUAGCCUUGAUCUCCCUCACUCAAGCAAUCCUCCUGCCUCAGCCUCCCAAGUAGCUGGGACUGCAGGCACGCACCACCACGCCUGGCUAAUUUUUGUGUUUUUUUGUAAAGAUAGGGUUUUGCCAUGUUGCCCAAGCUGGUCUCAAACUCCUGGCCUCAAGAGAUUCUCCCACAUCAGCCUCCCAAAAUGCUGGGAUGACAGGUGUGAGCCACCAGGCCUGGCCAAUUGUUGCAUUUAAAGAGAUUAACGAGAAACUAGAAGACAGAUCUAAAGAAACUCAGAAUGUCAUCCGGAAAGUAAAAAUGGUGGAAACUAUGAAAGAGAGGAUAAGAAAUUUGGAGGAUAGAGUAAAAAGCAAAAAUACGUCUAAGCUGGGUGCAGUGGAACACAUUUGUAAUUCCAGCUAGUAGGGAGGCUGAGGCAGGAGAAUUGCUUGCACCCAGGAGUUCAAGGCCAGCUUGGGCAAUAUAGCAAAACUCCAUUUCUUAAAAAUACACACACACACACACACGCGCGCGCGCGCACAUGCAUCUGAUUAGAAUUUCAGAAACAGAUAAUGGAAUUAAGAAGAGGAAUAUUCCAAAAAUACAAUGGCUGAAAAUUUUCCAGGUUUAUUUUUUGUUUUUGUGUUUGUGUGUAGCUGGGACUACAGACGUUCACCACCAGGCCCAGAUAAUUUUUUGUAUUUUUGUAGAGAUGGGGUUUAAUGUUGUCCAGGCUGGUCUUGAACUCCUGAUCUCAGGUGAUCCGCCCACCUUGGCCUCCUAAAGUACUGCAAUUACAGGCAUGAGUCACCAUGCCUGGCCAAUUUUCCAGUUUUAAUGAUAAAUAUCAAUCUUUGGAUUGAGAAAGCCCAAUGUACUUUUAGAUACAUUAAUGUAAAACUGCAGAACACCAAAGAAAAAGAGGACUUAAAAUAAGCUAGAGAAAAAAGAGAAACCACUUACAAAGCAGUGAUAAUGUGGUUUAACUCUGUCUCACCAAUGGCUUCCAACAAUGGAAGCCAGAAGACACUGAAAUAAUGUCUUCCAUGGCCUGAGAGGAAAUAACUAUCAUCCUAAAAUUUUAUAACCAGUGAAGCUAGUUUUCAAGAAUAUGAAAAAGCCAAAAAAAAAAAAAAAAAGCGGGAUAGUUUAUCAAUACAAGUCCCUCAUUAAUGGAAAUUCUAAAAGAUUCUUUCUCAAGUAGUGGGAAAAUGAUUCCAUAUGGAAAGUCUUAAUAUAUAAGCAGGGCUUGUGAGCAAUAAUAUUGAUGAAUGUGUGACUAAAUCUAAAGAAACAUUCUAUAAAAUAAUAUUUGACUUCGGGAGGAAAGUCCGAAACUAAAAUACUGGGCACAGUAACAUUGUAAUUGGCAUUUCAGAGAUCAAAGUUAAAGCGUUGUAAGGUUCUCAUAUUGUUUAGGAGAAUAAAUAUAUUGGUUCAUUCUUGACUUUGUUGAGAGGAUAUGUUAAAAUAGGGCAAUCAUCAAAAGAAGAGAUAAAGAAAAUGUAAGUCAAGAGAACAGUAUGAAAUGAAAAUUAAGGAGAAGGAACGAAAUAGAAUGAAAAAAACAAAUUUCAACAAAUCAAAAAUAAAGGAAGAAAGAGGAAUGUAAAACAAAAACAAAAAUGACAGAAAACACAAAAUAAACUUGUCAAGUAAAAUCCAAAUAAAUCACUAAUCACUAUAAAUGUAAGUUUUUCAACCCCUUUACUUAAAAGACCAAAAUUGUCAAAACAUUGUUUUUCUUUUUUUCACAUGAGAUGGUUCAAGCAAAACAAAUUUUUUGUUUUGUUUUGUUUUUUGAGACAGAGUUUUGCUCUUGUUGCCCAGGCUGGAGUGCAAUGGCAUGAUUUUGGCUCACCGCAACUUCUGCCUCCUGGGUUCAAGCGAUUUUCCUGCCUCAGCCUCCCAAGUAGCUGGGAUAACAGGCAUGCACCACCACACCCGGCUAAUUUUGUAUUUUUAGUAGAGACAGGGUUUCUCCAUGUUGGUCAGGCUGGUCUCGAACUCCUGACCUCAGGUGAUCCGCCCACCUCAGCCUCCCAAAGUGCUGGAUUACAGGCGUGAGCCACCAUGCCUCACCUGUAAAACAUAUUUUUUAAAAGCAACUUAACUUCUAUGAGUGAUCAUAUCUAAAACAAAAAGACAUAGAAAAAUUGGGAGUCAAAUUAUGGGAAAAAUGUAUUGGCAUCUAUUAAGAAAAAGACCCUGAGGUAGCUGUUUUAAUGUCACGCAGAAUAGACUUUAAGAUAAAAGAGUAUUACUCAUGAAGGAGAUUACCCCAUGUUAAAAGGUUAAUUUCACCAGGAAGUUAUGACAGUUCUAACUUUUAUGAUCUUUCUUUGUCUCUUUUGAUGAAUACUCAUCUCCCAAAUUUAGAAUUCCCCAGGUCUCAGUUUAGAACUGUUUUUUAAAUUUAAAAAAAAUUGAAAUGGGGCCUUGUUAUGUUGCUCAGGCUGGAGUGCAGUGGUACAAUCAUAGCUCACUACAUCCUCAAACUCCUGGACUCAAGAAAUCUCCUCAUCUUGGCCUUCCAAAGUGCUGGGAUUACGGGUGUGAGCCACUGGCUUGACCAUUAUCGCAAUCUUUUUCUUGAUAAUCACAUUCAGUUCCAUGGCUUUAUUUAUUUAUUUAUUUAUUUAUUUAUUUUAGUAGAGAUGAGGCCUUGCUAUGUUGCCAAGGCUGGUCUCGAACUCCUGGCCUCAAGUGAUCCUCCCAGCUCAGCCUCCCAAAGUGCUGGGAUUACAGGGGUGAACCACCAUGCCUGGCCUCCGUUCCAUGCUUUCAAAUGCCAGCUAUACACUAACUCUCAAAGUUGUAUCGUUAGCCAAUACCUCUAUUCUGAAUUCCAGACUCAUUAAAUAAAUUGCCUAUAUGACAUCUCCACUUGGGUAUCUAAUAGUAUCUCAAACGAUACAGUCUGUAAUCCCAGCACUUUGGGAAGCUGAGGGAGGAGGAUUGCUUUGAGUCCAGAAGUUUAAGACUGCAGUGAGCUAUGAUCAUGCCACUGCACUCCAGUCUUGCUGAAAGAGUGAGACCCUGUCUUUAAAAAUAAAAUUAAAAAAUUAAAAAAUUUUAAAUUAAUACUGGUAUGUCUAAAACCAAGCUUUUGAUCUGAUUCACCAAACAUGCUCUUUUCCCAUGCUUUACCAUCUCAGAAAAUGGCAACUCCAUCUUUCCAAUUGCGUAGGUCCAAACAAUGGAGUGACCUUGACUUCUCAGUUUCUCUUCCAUCCCAUAUCUUAACAGCUAAUCUAGUAAAUUCUAUCUUCAGAAGAUUUGCUGUUAAGAUAUGGGAUGGAGGAGAAAUCUGAUUGCUUCUCUCCACUCCUUUUGCCCUCAGUCUGCUCCAAGCUACAAUCAUCUUUCACCUGGAUUACUGUGAUUACCUUUUAACUGGUCUCCCUGCUUCUGCCUUUGAUCUCUAUGAUAGUCCAGGUCCUCCGAGAAGCAGAUGCCAAGACAGGAUUAAAUGUACAAGAAAUUUAUUGUGGGAAACCCCUGUGAGAGAAAAUGGGGAGGGAGCAGGAGAAGCUGGGAGAGCUGUCAGACUGUGAUGCAACUCAAAUGAAGGAGAGAAAGAACAAUGGGUGGAACAUUCUUAGACUUGUGCAGUUAUGAAAAAUUCAGCAAAGCUGUUAGGGAGUCCUGAGCUAAAAUGUUGCCUGUCGAGGAGUUCUGCAAUUCCUGGAAAUGGGUCUGCCUUAGUAUCCCUGCUGAGAGCAGCCAGUGGAAAGCACGGGCUCAAAACCCCGCAUCUGGGAUCCCAGUCAAUUAUGCUUCCUGCAGUGAGCCAUCAAGAGUGCUUUCCAAUGAUUGUCAUGUGUAUCGCUUCAGUCAAUUCUCCCUAGAGUAGUCAGAGCGAUCCAGCUAAAAUGCUGGAUCACGUCAUUCCUGUUGCUUAAAACUCUUCAAUCACUUCCCAUUUGAUUCAGAAUUAAACCAAAUUCCCUACAUGGGCUGCCCCGCUACUUGAAAGAGGUGAGAUCAAUAGGUCCUCAAACCCUAAAUGGAAUUAUCUGUGGCAGAUAUAGGGUAGUCUGACCAGGUAGUCUGCUCUGACUUAAUUUAGUAACAAUUGGAAAUUUAGAAGACGGUGAUUCUUAGAAAAAAUACAAUUUGACUUCUUUGGAUCUGGCCCAAAAUGUCCUUAUAGUGUUGGGUCACUUUCUCAGAAUGUGAGCUGAUAGGAUACUGAUAUGGUUUGGCUGUGUCCCAAAUCUCAUCUUGAAUUGUAGUUUCCAUAAUCCCCACGUGUGGUGGGAGGGAUCUGAUGGGAGGUAAUUGAAUCAUGGGGGCGGUUACCUCCAUGCUAUUCUCAUGGUAGUGAGGGAGGUCUCACGAGAUCUAAUGAGUUUAUAAUGGGCUUUUCCCCUUUUGCUCAGCACUUCUCCUUCCUGCUGCCAUGUGAAAAAGCAUGUGUUUGCUUCCCCUUCCACCAUGAUUGUAAGUUUCCCGAGGCCUUCCCAGCCCUGCAGAAUUGUGAGUCAAUUAAACCUCUUUCCUUUAUAAACUACCCAGUCUCGGGCAGUUAUUUAUAACAGCAUGAGAAAGAACUAAUAGAGAUAAAAAAGAGAUUGUAUCAACAUACACAUUUACUUUUCCAGUGAAAGAAUGAAGAAAACAUGCAUGUUUGAGGUUUUCUUGAGGGAAGUAUCUAAUGAUUCACAUACAACCAGGGACUCUUCAGGCUGAAGAUAGCUUGUAAUUUUUCUUCUAGUCCCCUAGUAGACUAAUUUAAACCUGUUUUCUAUUCAUCACUCCUAGAGGUGAUGACUGUUCUGGAAUUAAGGUUCAAAGGAGGUAAAAGAAGGAAGAACUGUUUGGAGAAAUUGUUACUGGUGGAAGGUGUCCAGGUUCUUGGUACUUUAAACAAAAGAAUUGGACAAAUCACACAAAGAAUGAAAUAACACAAGGAGAGAUUUAUUGAAAAUGAAUUCACACUCCACAGGGUGGGAGCAGCCCAAGCAAGUGGCUGAAGAGCUUGGUUACAGAAUUUUCUGUGGUUUAAAUACCCUCUAGAGGUUUCCCAUUGGUUACUUGGUAUACACCCUAUGUAAAUGAAGUAGUGGCCUGUGAUCAGUCUGAUUGAUUGCAGAGUGACCAAAAAGAGGCUGAAGUGAAAUUACAAAGUUACACCCUAAGCAGACUUCCGAUUGGUUGUGGAAAGUGACCAAUCAGAGGCUAAAGUGAAGUUAUAAAGUUAUACUCCUAUGCAAAUGAAGACUUGGCCCAUGACUAGCCUGAUUGGUUGUGGGAGGGGACCAAUCACAGGUACUUUCAAUUUUUCAUCUGCCAUGCAGAAAAGGGGUGGGUUGCAAAGGGAGUAGCCUCUAGUCCUUUUGUUACCCGAGCAUAGGAAGUUGGGGUUUUCCUUUGGUUUAGUUCUAGGAAAUCAGCAUGAAUCAGCCUUAGAUUCCCUGCCUCCAGACCCUAUUCUGCCUCAAAAUCGUUGAUUCUGAGGCUAUGGCAAGGAAAGUCAAGUUACAUUUGAACAUCUUACUGUAGCAGAAAGUAAAAAAGUGCUGAAAAAUUGGUGGGGACACAGAAGCCAGCUCGAAGGGGACUCCCACUGGUUAAACUUAGCAUCAAAAUAAAUAACAGGAAUGGAUUAUAACUCAUUGAUUAACCAAAAAUGAAUCAAUGAUUCCCUAUUAUUACAAAAAAAGAAAAUCACCUUAAAAAAAACUUCAGCUGGGCGCAGUGGCUCACGCCUGUAAUCCCAGCACUUUGGGAGGCCGAGGUGGGCGGAUCACCUAAGGUUGGGAGUUCGAGACCAGCCUGACCAACAUGGAGAAACCCCGUCUCUACUAAAAAUACAAAAUUAGCUGGGCGUGGUGGCACGCACCUAUAGUCCCAGCUACUUUGGAGCUUGAGGCAGGAGAAUUGCUUGAACCUGGGAGGUGGAGGUUGCGGUGAGCCGAGAUUGCACCAUUGCACUCCAGCCUGGGCAACAAGAGCAAAACUCCGUCUCAACCCCCCCCCCCCCAAAAAAAACCUCCAUGUUAAAAAGUAUUAGUGGUGUUAAUGUGGCUUUUGAAAUUUGAAAAUCCAGUUUUGCUGUUUUUUAAUGUUCAUGUGAAAGAAUAAACGUUCCUAUAAAAUGUCCCUACAAAUAUUGAAAAAUUAGCUUUUCAUUAGUAAAAGCAAAAUUCAUGUAUCUUCUAAAGAGUACAUAUUUUACAAGCCUCAUUAGACACUCUUGACACAAAACAUUCAGAAAUAGAAAACAAGCAUUGAUUAAAAGCUCUGUAUUUUUCUUUUUCUUUCUUUCUUUUUCUUUUUUUUGAGAUGGAGUCUGUCUGUCACCCAGGCUGGAGUGCAGUGGCACAAUCGUUGUUCACUGCAACCUCCACCUCCCGAGUUCAAGCGAUCCUCCUGCCUCAGCCUCCCGAGUAGCUGGGACUACAAGCACAUGCCACCAUGCCUGGCUAAUUUUUGUAUUUUUAGUAGAGACAGGGUUUCACCAUGUUGGCCAGGCUGGUCUCUAACUCUUGACCUCGUGAUCUGCCUGCCUUGGCCACCCAAAGUACUGGGAUUACAGGCGUGAACCACCAUGCCCAGCCAAGUCCCUGGAAUUGAGCCCUGGGCUGUGUCUCUGCCUUCUGGGUAAAUGAGGAACAGAAAUGAAAAUUCUGUGGGAGUCAGUGUGAAAUUGCAUCUUCUGCACAGGCAGAGUUUGAAAUGUACAUCCUAGUCUCCAUCACCAGCACAGACAUCUCCAGUUCAUGCUUAGGUAAAUAACCUGUUCUAGUUGUAGGAGUCCCAGACAUUCCAGCUCCCACCACACCCAUGUGGACUCACAUGGAGGUCUCUGCCCAACGCUGAGUCGCAACUGCCACAUUCAGGACACAUGUCUCCAACACUUACAUAAAGGACUUUUAGGCUGGGCGCAGUGGCUCACACCUGUAAUUAGCCGGGUGUGGUGGUGGGCGCCUGUAGUCCCAGCUACGCGGGAGGCUGAGGCAGGAGAAUGGCGUGAACCUGGGAGGCGGAGCUUGCAGUGAGCUGAGAUCGCGCCACUGCACUCCAGCCUGGGGGACAGAGCGAGACUCCGUCUCAAAACAGCAACAACAACGACGACAACAAAAAAAAACUACAAAAAUUAGCUGGGCGUGGUGGCACACUCCUGUAGUCUCAGCUAUUCAGGAGGCUGAGGGAGGAGAAUGGCGUGAACCCGAGAGGCGGAGCUUGCAGUGAGCUGAGAUCACGCCACUGCACUCCAGCCUGGCGGACAGAGCAAGACUCCGUCUCAAAAAAAAAAAAAAAAAAAAAAAAAAAAAACCGGCUUUCAACUGAAAUCAUAGAAGACCACCUUUUUAUAGCCUCCAAAGUAAUCAUUGAUCCAUACAAUAAUCAUCAAUAAAUACUAAAACUAUUAUGUGAAAUACUGUUGGGGAACAGGAUACUCAUAGUUUCCAAGUAUCACUCCACAGAAUAUUUCUUAAUUACAAAGGAAAAACAUCUUUAUGUCAGAGAAAUCCAGGAGGACCUUAGCUGAAUGUACAAAGUUUGUUUUUUGGCUCUUCUUGUUGUAGUUUUUAAGACAGAGUCUCGCUCUGUUGCUCAGGCUGGAGUGCAGUGGCAUGAUCUCCGCUCACUGCAACCUCCGCCUCCUCGAUUCAAGCCAUUCUCCUGCCUCAGUCGCCCAAGUAGCUGGGAUCACAGGCGUGCACCACCAGGCCUGGCUAAUCUUUGUAUUUUUGGUAGAGACAGGGUUUUGCCAUGUUGGCCAGGCUGGUCUAGAACUCCUGGCCUCAAGUGAUCCGCCCACCUCAGCCUCCCAAAGUGCUGGGAUUACAGGAAUGAGCCACUGCACCGGCCUGAACAAAGUUAAUGAAGCAAACUGACAUGCUGUGCCCCUUGUGUUGGGGAUCCCUAAGAUCAACCUCAGGUUUGAUGAUUCACUAGAAGUACUCAAAAAACUCAAAAAAAACCUGUUCUGCUCACAGCUACAGUAUCUUACAAAGAAAGGGCACAGAUUUAAAUCAGCAAAGUGAAAAGGUGCAUGAGGUUAAGUAUAGGAGAAAUCAGGGGCAAGCUUCCAGUUGUCCUCUCCCAGUGGGGCCACACAGACUGUACUUAAUUCUCUCAGCAACUAUGUGUGACAACAGGUGUGAAGACUGCUGUCCAAAGAAGCAGACCCAAGCCCCUUGGUCCUCAGGAUUUUCACAUAAGCAUGUGUUGUCCAUGUGGCUGACUUUAGCUGUCCAGUCUCCAGACCUCGAGAGGUCAAACUGAUAUAGCAUGGUCCAGGACCCCAGGCAUAGAAAAACAGGUGUUCACGGUAAGUCAGAUCGUUAGCACAAACUAACUGAUCAAACAAAUAAUUUGGCCCAGGGCCUAAGGCAUAUAGAAACACUCUUAUCAGGCAGGAUAAUUGCUCAGAGGUUACCUUCCAGCAGCAGGUCAAGGUCCAGUCCUUUCUUGGGGAUGUUUGAACAGUCCAAGCCUCCUGAGUUAACCCCUUACAGAACACUCCCUGAUAUGAAAAGGGCACAAAUCAACAAUGUAGUAUACUGCAAAAAUAUCUUAUCUAGAUAUAACAAUGAGGAAACCAUUAGAGAUCCCAGGAUUGAUCAGCUUGGCAAAACAAUUGUCCUGACUCUUUAAAAAAAUGUCAAUUAUGGAAAACAAAAACAAACAAAAAAAAGGGGGCAACUUUUCUAGAUUAAAGGGCAACUUUUCUAGAUUAAAGGAGACUUCUACUUUUUAUUUCUAUGGUUUUGACUGCUUGAGAUACUUCAUAUGAGUGGAAUCAUAAAGGGAGUGUCUUAAGUAACAUGACUAUGGGAGAUGGGACAAAACAAGAGGCACUUGGAUUAAUUUAAUAAGUGUCCUGUUGAAUUUAAGAAUAUAAUGUUUGACACAUGCACAAGCAGAUCAGUAGCAGACUUAGGGAAUUACUAUUAGGCAUAUUUCACUUAGCAUUAUAUCCUUGAGGUUCAUCCAUGUUGCAGCACGUGACAGGAUUUUUAGUUGAUCCUAGAACUAGUUCCUCAUCUUUUUUUUUUUACAUAGCACAAUGUGUGAUCCUUCACAGAUAUUCCAUUCUAUGUGUGUAUCACAUUUUCUUUUUCCGUUCAUCUGUCAAUGGAUACUCGUGUUACUUCUACCUCUCGGCUACUGUGAACAAUACCAGGAUGAAUAUGGGUGUGCAAAUAUCUCUUCAAGACUGCUUUCAGAGACGAGGCACAGUGGCUCACUCCUGUAAUCCCAGCACUUUAGGAGGCUGAGACGGGUGGAUAACUUGAGCCCAGGAGUUUGAGACCAACCUGGGCAACAUGGCAAAACCCGUCUCUACAAACUCAGGAGCUGAUCCUGGGGAGGUCAAGGCUGUAGUGAGCCGUGAUUGCACCACUGCACUCCAGCCUGGGCAAUGGAGUGAGAGCUUGUCUCUAAAAUAAAUACAUAAAUAAAUAAAGGACCCUGCUUUCAGUUAUUUUGGAUGUAUAUUCAGAAGUGAGACUGCUGGAUCAUAUGAUAAGUCUAUUUUUAAUUUUGUGAGGAAUCUUAAUACUAUUUCUCAUAAUGGCUGCACAAUUUUACAUUCCCACCAACAGUACAAAGAAUCCCAAUUCUUUCAAAUCCUUGCCAACACUUGUUUUUUUCUGUUCUUUAGAUAGCAGUCAUUCUAAUCUGUAUAGGGUGAUACCUCAAUGUGGUUUUGAUUUGCCUUUCCCAAUGAUUAGCAAUGUUGAGCAUCUUUUCAUAUGUUUCUUGGGCAUUUGUGUGUGUGUGUGUAUACUUUUUUAUAUAUGUAUACUUUUAUAUAUAUACAUAUUUUUUUUUUUUUUUGAGACGGAGUCUUGCUCUGUCACCCAGGCUGGACUGCAGUGGCAUGAUCUCAGCUCACUGCAACCUCUGCUUCCCGAGUUCAAGCGAUUCUCCUGCCUCAGCCUCCCCAGUAGCUAGGAUUACAGGCACCCUCCACCACCCUCAGCUAAUUUUCAUAUUUUUAGUAGAGACAAGUUUUCAUCAUGUUGGCCAGGAUGGUCUCGAUCUCCUGACCUCAGGGGAUCUGCCCACCUUGGCCUCCCAAGGUGCUGGGAUUACAGGCAUAACCCACCAUGCCCGGCCUAUUUGUAUAUAUUUCUUUUUUGAGAAAUGUCUAUUCAAGUUUUUUGUCCAUUUUUAAAUUGUGUUUUGUUGUUGAGUGGUAGGAGUUUUUUUUUUAAAUAUAUUCUAUAUAUUAACUUCUUUGAUAUAUGAUUUGUUAACAUUUUCUCCCUUUUUGUAGGCUUUUAAAAAUUCUGUUAAUUGUAUCCUUUGAUGCAUAGGAGAUUUUAAGUUUGAUAUAAUACCAUUUGUCUAUUUGUGCUUUUUUUUCUUGGUAGAGAUGUGGUCUCACUAUGUUGCCCGGGCUGGUCUCAAGGUCCCAACCUCAAGCGAUCCUACCACCUCAGCCUGCCAAAGUGUUGGGUUUGCACAUGUGAGCCACUGUACAAAUUAUAUUUUUCCUUUUGAUGCUUGUGCUUUUGGUGUCAUAUCUAAGAAAUCAUUGCCAAAUCCAGUGUCCUGAAGAUCUUCCCCUGUUUUCUUCUAGGAGUUUUAUACUUUUAGAACUUAUGUUAGGUCUUUAAUCCAUUUUUAAGUUAAUUUUUGUAUAUGAUAUAAGGUAAGGGGCCAGCUUGAAUGUGGACUUCCAGGCAGCUAUUGCUUUUUUUUUUUUUUUUUUUUUUGAGAUGGAGUCUCACUCUGUCGCCCAGACUGGAGUGCAGUGGCAUGAUCUGGGCUCACUGUAGCCUCCACCUCCUAGGUUCAAGAGAUUCUCCUGCCUCAGCUCCCCAAGUGGCUGGGAUUACUGGUGCGUACCACCACGCCCAGGUAAUUUUUGUAUGUUUAGUAGAGAUGGGGUUUCGCUAUGUUGCCCAUGCUGGUCUCAAACUCCUGGCCUCAAGUGAUCUGCCCACCUUGACCUCCCAAAGUGCUGAGAUUACAGGCAUGACCCACUGUACCCGGCCAGCUAUUGGCUUUUAAACUUCUUUUGACUGCUUGUCUACCAAAGGCCUUAUUAUAAUAUCAUCAUAUAUUUACUCCUAAGGGCAUGAGAGUGGUCUUUUCUUGUUUGGUUUUCCAAUUUAAUUUAAUAGGAAAACUUAUCUCGGUUUAAUUAUGUAAAUGUUAAAUAUGUGUGAUUUUCUCUCUAAAUAUAUUUGAAUACAUCAGUGACAAGUACAUUUUUAUAUAUCUUACAAAUGAAUAAAAGGAAAAAGAAAAUCUUCCAAGCAACUCCAAUAGUUCUCUAUAAGUGCUAAUAUAUGAAUGUUAGUUGAUAGAAAAAGCAGUAUUAACAGGAAGAAAGUAAUUUAUUAGUUAAUUUGCUUUCCAAAACUAAAACUGUAAUAAGAGGGCUCUUGCUUAGAAAAGGAAUGUUGAAAACAACCUCAUAUGCUACACAUUGCACUAAGUAUUCCUCCAGAGAAAAAUAGAAGAAUGCCUUAAAUAAUAUGAUAGUGGAAGAUGGGACAAAACAAAAAGCACUUGAAUUAAUUUGAUUAGUGCUCUGUUGAAGUUAAGAAUAUAGGGUCCUACACAUGUACAAACAUAGAACAGUAGCAGAUUUAGGGAAUCACUAUUAGACUGCACCUGUUGGAGUCCUCGGUGAAUCCAGUCCUUGUUUAAGGCUUCCAGUUGGAGCUGGCAGUUGUUGUAGGGAUUAAAUUAUUUAAAGCCUUCAGCUGGCUAGUGUAGGCAAGCAGUAGCUUAGAAAACACUUAAUCUAUUUUUUAAAAUCUGUUCCUAAGUUUUCUUUGCUUAGGCUGUAAGACUACAUGUAACACCCACCUGCCACAUUCUGCAAUCUUUUAAAUUUAUCCAAGAAAAAAAAGUUUUUUGAGGAAUAUUUAUAUUUUAAUACAAUGUGCUUAUUUUGAACAUAAUCUAUUUGUAAUAAACAAAUCAUUUGCUAAGUAUCUAAAAACAUAUUGUUUAAAUUAAUUUCAAAAGGAAAUUACCAAAUUACCUAUUUUCACAGCCAUCUUUUAAAUUUUAUUUUUAAUCAUAGUUAGAGGGGCUUUUGAUAACCAACAUUAUGUGAACCCUUUCAAUAGAAACAUUAUUUUAUUUUAUAUAUUUUUUUAGAUGAGGUCUCGCUCUGUUGCCCAGUCUGGAGUGCAGUAGCACAAUCUCGGCUCACUCCAACCUUCACUUCCCCAGUUCAAGUGAUUCUCCUGCCUCAGCCUCCCCUGUAGCUGGGAUUACAGGCAUGUGCCAUCACGUCCAGCUAAUUUUUGUAUUUUUAGUAGAGAUGGGGUUUCACCAUGUUGGCCAGGGUGGUCUUGAACUCCUGACCUUAAGUGAUCCACUGGUUUCAGCCCCCUAAAGUGUUGGGAUUAUAGGCGUGAGCUACUGCACCUGGCCAGAAACAUUUUUUUAAGCCAGCUCCGUAUAUAUUACAUAAUUCGGUAACACAUUACAAUGUAUUUAACUUCUGUUUAGAAAAUUAGAAUCACUUAAUAAAUCUUACUGUGCUUUGGAGUGACCUAAGGAAUUUUUUUUUUUUUUUUUUUUUUUUUGAGAUGAAGUCUCACUCUGUCACCCAGGCUGGAGUGCAGUGGCUCGAUCUCGACUCACUGCAACCUCCACCUCCUGGGUUCAAGCGAUUCUCCUGCCUCAGCCUCCCGAGUAGCUGGGAUUACAGGCGCCUGCCACCAUGCCCAGCUAAUUUUUGUGUUUUUCGUAGAUACGGGAUUUCACCAUAUUGGCCAGGCUGGUCACGAUUUCCUGACCUCCAGUGAUCCUCCAGCCUCGGGCUCCCAAGACCUAAGGAAUUUGUAUAAAACCUUCCAGAUAACUCAGAAGCUGAGGACUUAUUAGGCAAAUCUACUUAUAUGUAAUUAACUAUUAGAGGUCCACUGUAUUUUUUUUGCUGAUGAAAAAUACAAAGAUUUUCUUUCCUACUAGAAAUUUUUACCUGAUAUUAUGUCACUAUCAUUUCUUUGAAUUUGUUAGAUAUACGAUAGAUUAAAUCAAUAUGUUUCCGCAAUAAAAGAACUGAUUCUGACAUCAUUCAUUAUCUAAAGUUCUUUCUUGGCUGCGUUUAAAAAUAACAAAACUUUUGUUUCCAAAUGGUGAGAUAUGAAGUAAAAUAACUUCGGUGGGCAUAUAUUCUUAUUUUCCUAGAGUUUAUAGUAGAAUUCAUGAAGCAAAUAAAACCCUGUAAAAUAGGUUUAAAGUAUUGAAAUGUAAAAUUCUAAACUUUUUCUGUUACUAGUCUCGUUUGUUUAUUUAUAAAGCUAACAAUUUUUAUAACCUUCUGUCUUUUCCUCCCUAAGACUUUUUAUUGCUUUAUUUUUAGAAGCUUAUUGUGGGCAUGAUUAAGAUGAAAGCAAAAAUUUUAGAUAUGUAGCAGAGGAAGAAAAUACAUUUAGGACAAACUGCCUCUUAAGUAGAGAAAAUAAUAGUUGAGCUAUUCUAGUUGAAAUUUCUUACUUGGUUGCAAAUGUACCCUCAAAAGUGGAAGAUGAUUUUAUGCAAAAUGUGGCUGUCUGUGGAGAGUCAAUUUGGGCAAAUUAAACUAAAUGACCUAAACAUUUAUACCAGCUACAAUAUUGUGACUUUUAUAUAACUACUUUUAUUCAAUCAGGUACAAUUUCAUCAUUUCUCCAAUUUAAUUGCUUUAAAAUGUUACCAUUGGGUGCCAUCCCAGAACCCCAUGGGGAAGGCUGUUAAGAAGUCCCAGCUCUAUUCCUCUAUUCUAACCUCCCUCAGCGUCUCUUUCUUGCUUUCAGCCAGCUCCCAAAGGAUUCAGCACUCAUUCUUCCACUCCUCGCAGCUGUCACCACCAGCUCUGUUUCCUGGGGUUCCUCCCCAACCUCAUCCCACCCAAGACUGGUUAUGAUCUGACCUAGUUUCCUUAGCACCCCCCUUCCUUUCUAUCUCUGAAAAUAAGUAUGAACACUGUUUACACACUGAGGGUACAGAGCAUUAAGACGAACCUGUAAUCCAGCUGUCUCUGCCAUUAUCAUGCACAUAUCCUUUGUGGGAGACUCAUCCACCGUCACGUGCCUGACUUCCCCUUAGAAUCUGCAAAGAAUAAAAUCGCUAUGUUUAGUUGUCUUUUUUUUUUCAAGAAUGUGUCUUUUUAGCUAGUACCCCUUUCCCUAGAGUGGCUGCUUACUGCAUACACAAUGAUUGUGGCAUGAAAUAAUUAAACGAUAAAAUCCCAGGCUGCUGUUGAAUAGUGUCAGAAGGAGGUUGGUACUCUGCACUUAGCUACCCAGACCUGCCACACACAUUUACAGCCACCACCUGGCCUCUGUAAGCAUCAGAGUUUCCCGUUUCUGACCCCUCUCACUGAAAGUUUAUCAAGAUCAGCCAAUCAUGUGUAUACAUUUCUAGUGUGUGCUACUAAAAGAGUACUACCUGGAUUCAGAAGUAGUAUGUUCAAGCCUUGGAUUUCCCCAGUAUUAGGUGGGCAAGCAUGGCACUCUCUCCACAGGGUUCUUUUAACUCUUCUCUCCACACCCGCACUGGAGACCACUGGUAACCAUCUGUGGCCAUCACCUAAACUCUCACCCAGGUAAGAAUUCAAGAUCCCUUUCCUUUAACCUGUUUCUAACCAUCUCACUUAUUAGCACUCCUUCAGUUCCAAGCUGGUUGAACUUACAUCUUGGCUUUCUCUUAGUUUUCCCUGGAUUUAAUUAUUUAGGCCUCUUUUUUUUUUUUUUUUUUUUUUUUGGAACUGACCUGGUAACACCAUAGAAUGCUGCCUCUGGCAAUUUCCUUUGACCCAGUAGGAAAAUUAGGAGCAGGGCUUGUUUUAUUUCUCUUAUCGACAGUGCCAGAAUGGUGUCCACUGUAUAUUGUGUGCACACAUCAUCACAUUUUUUUGUGUGACUGUUUGUUUGUUUGUUGUUGUUGUUGUUGUUGAGAUGGAGUCUCCCUCUGUGGCCCAGCCUGGAGUGCAGUAGUGCAAUCCUGGCUCACUGUAAGCUCCGCCUCCCAGGUUCAUGCCAUUCUCCUGCCUCAGCCUCCCAAGUAGCUGGGACUACAGGCGCCUGCCACCAUGCCCGGCUAAUUUCGUUUUGUAUUUUUAGUAGAGAUGGGGUUUCACCAUGUUAGCCAGGAUGGUCUCGAUCUCCUGACCUCAUGAUCUGCCCGCCUCAGCCUCCCAAGUGCUGGGAUUACAGGCGUGAGCCACAAUGCCCGGCCCACGUUUUGCUGUUAAUAAUGAUGGUGCUGAAGACUAUGGCUUUGAUGACUAGUUCUGCUUUAAGAAAACAUUCCGUAAGUCUUCAUCAUUGCAGUGAUAUAUAUUUCCUUGCAGUGAUAUAUAUGUAUAUAUUUUUAUAUAUACAGCCUACAAGGGGACAAUAUGGCACAGUGAGUAUGAUCAUGAACUUUGAAGCCGGACUUUUUGUGUUCAAACCCUUGCUCUGUCACUUUCUAGCUAGGUGAACUUAGCCAAGUUACUUAACUCUCUAGGCCUCAAUUUCUUCACCUGCUGCUUCAUAAGUUGGGGAUAAUGACAGUACUCAACUUCCUUGGGUUGUUAUGAGGAUUAAAUGAGUUAACAUUAGUAAUGCUCUUGGAACAGCGUCUGACACAUCAUAAGCACAAAAGUGUUUGUUAGAUAAAAAGUGAUUUUUUUUCCUGCCUUAGGUUGAUUUGUACAAAUAGCACAAGAGGACACCAACUCCAUGCAGAUGGCAGCCCAGCAGGUCACACCAGUCCUUCUGUCCUCACACUGGCAGACAGAGGCCUCCUCUCUGGAGUCUUCACAGGGGCCUGAGCUAGAGCUGGAAAUGCAGCUGGAGCUGCAGCCAAAGCUGGGGCUGCAGGGCCUUGAUUUGAGACUUGGCCUUGGUCUUGGGUGGGCAGAGGUAAGACCCUUGGCAAUGCAGGCAGGAGCACGCUUCCCGAGCUUGGGGUAGGCAAUGUAGGCAAGUCAAUUGAGCUUCUGGAUGAUGUGCUUUGGGAUUUGGGACUUAACCUCCUUGGCCUUUUUGAGGACUUUGAUAGACUUGGCAUACAGACACAUGGCAUUGGUACUGUUGGCCCGCUUCUUAUUCACGCCCUUCUUGUUGUGCUUCUUGGCAAAGCACAUGUUCCUCAGGAACUUGGGGUCUACCCCAUUAAGAGGUUUGUAUCUUUGUUAUCACAGUUUCUUGAUGUCAUUUCUGUACCAUUUUUGGGACUGGUUGUGUGUGGUGUGGUUCUUGGACUUGGCCAUGUCUACAUCAUAACCUGUGGCUCCAGAAGCUCUUGGGACCAGAAGAGAAAGAACCAAAAAGUGAAUUUUAUUUUAAAAAAAUGUUUUGAGACAGGGUCUCAUUCUGAUGCCCAGGUUGGGGUGCAGUGGCACAAUCAUGGCUCACUGCAGCCUCAACCUAGCCAUCCUCCUGCCUCAGCCUCCUGAGUAGCUGGGACUGCAGAAGUGCACUACCAUGCCCAGCUAAUUUUUGAAAUUUUCUGCAGAGACAAGGUCUCACUAUGUUGCCCAGGCUGGUCUCAAACUCUUGAGCUUAAGUGUUCCUCCUACCUCGGCCUCCCAAAGUACUGGGAUUAUAGGUGUGAACCACCAUACCCAGGCUCAAAAAGUGAAUUUAAAAAUAAGUAACUGCUAGAUAGUAUUAAAAUAUUAUCAUUUGGAACAAGUGAAAAAUAUUUUCACGUAGCCAGGCUGAGUUCCAGAAUGAAUUUAGUUUAAUUGCUUUGCUUAAUUUUUUUUGAGACAGAGUCUCACUCUGUUGCCCAGGCUGGAGUGCAGUGGCGCGAUCUUGGCUCACUGCAACCUCUGCCUCCUGAAUUCCAGCGAUUCUCUUGCCUCAGCCUCCUGAGUAUCUAGGAUCACAGACGCCUGCCACUAUGUCUGGCUAAUUUUUGUAUGUUUUUCAGAGACAAGGUUUCGCCAUGUUGCCUAGGCUGGUCUCUAACCCCUGAGCUCCGGUGAUUCACCCGCCUCAGCUUCCCAAAGUGCUGGGAUUACAGACAUGAGCCACUGUGCCGGCCUGUUUUGCUUAAUAUUGAUUGCUUUUAGUUUCAGCUUUCAAUCACAAAAGACAAUCAUGCAGUAGAUAAUUAAGUGUAAUAUGGAUUACUUUGAAACUUAGCAAUGAGAGUCUUUUUUUUUCUUUUUAUACAAAAUUCCUCUAAAAUGGGAAUAUUUUUCACAUAAAAUAAAGGGAAACUUAGAAAAUGUGUCUAAGUAUAAUGGAAGCAUUCAAAUGUUUGUUUUAAGCUUUCUAAUACAUUUAUUUGUACAGAUCAAGACUUACUAAUAUGCUAAAAAGGAACAGUUAAAAUAAACUAUUGUACAUUCUUAAAAUGGUCUACUGUGCAGCUGUUUACAAGAAUGCAGUAAAUUUAUAUAUACUCAUGUGGGACAGCCAUCCAGCUAUCUCAUGAUUAAAAAAGGAAUGUGUAAAACACUAUGUAUGGCAUGCACAUAUUCCAGAACAGUGUUCUUAAAUGGAUAUCUUAGUCUGUUUUCUGUUGCUUUUAACAGAGUACCUGAAACUGGGUAUUUUAUAAAGAAACAAAAUGUAUUUCUUACAGUUUGGAGGCUGAGAAGGCCAAGGUUGAAGGGCUGAAUCUGGUGAGGGUCUUCUUGCUAGAGGGGACUCCGCAGAGGCUGGAGGUGGCACAGAGCAUCAGGUGGUGAGGAGGCUGAGAGUGCUAGCUCAGGUCGCUCUUCCUUUUCUUAUAAAGCUACUCACAUAACUCAUUAAUCCAUUAACCCAUGACUCUAUUAAUCCAUGAAUGGAUUAAUCCAUUCAUGAAGGCAGAGAAUUCAUGAGUCAAUCACCUCUUAAAGGUCCACCUCUCAGCAGGGCGUGGUGGCUCCUGCCUGUAAUCCCAGCACUUUGGGAGGCCGAGGGUGGAUCAUGAGGUCAGGAGUUCGAGACCAGCCUGGCCAAUAUGGUGAAACCCCGUCUUUACUAAAAAUACAAAAAUUAGACGAGUGUGGUGGAACGUGCCUGUAGUCCCAGCUAUUUGGGAGGCUGAGGUAGGAGAACUGCUUGAACCCGGGAGGUGGAGGUUGCAGUGAGCUGGGAUCAUGCUACUGCACUCGAGCCUGGGCGACAGAGCGAGACUCCGUUUCAAAUAAAAAAAUAAAAAAAAAGGUCCACCUCUCAAUACUGCCACAUUGGGAUUAAAUGGAUUAAAUUUCUACAUGAGUUUUGGAGGGCACAAAUAUUCAGACCAUAGCAAUGGGUCACACUCAAAAUUAGGGAUAUGAAUAAAGCAACAUUAUUCUUUACUUUUACUGCCUCUUUAAACCUUGAAGGAAAUUUUGUGUGGAUGCCUCACAACUUUUUUGAUCACUCAGAUAAUAUGAAGUCCCCUAGCACUUUUAUUUCCAAUAAUAGUUUCAGUGCUGUAAUUAAACUGGCCAGUCCAGUGAAAUAAUGGAAACACGAAGCCCCUGUAUGAAUGAGAGCUCAUUGCUUCCUCCAGCUCAGCUUUGCUUUAAGCACGAGGAAGAGGGGCAGCCUGGGAGGCUUAUUACAGCUCAGUUUCUUGGCUUUGGGCUUCUAUUGCUCCUCUCCCCUAAGCAACUCGGAUGCCCCAGGGUUGAAAAGAAAAGGAAGAAAUAACGGACGGGAAAGCCUUUACUGAACUGGUGACCAGGUAAUUCUUGUUGGGGCCUUCUAGGAGUAGCAGAUACUGGUUCUUAUUCUUUCUCUCUUCUACAGUUUUCUCAAAGACCCCUCCCAUUGGAGACUUCCAGUUGCAAUUCCUGUGAUGUAGUUGAUGCUUUUCUCUGGCAGCCUACUUACACCUCCAUCCCUCAGCACUUGGAUGUCUGAUGGUUCAACUCAAACACACAUUCUUUUGGAAUCCCAUGUCCUUCUAGGCAGCCCAAUUGGGCAAGGUCCUUUUAAAGUCAAUUUCAGGUUGGUUUUUGCCCAUGAGUUCACUUGGCCCUCAUGUUAAUGCAGACCACUCCCAGAGAAGCCUCGCUUCUCUCCAUUCCCUGCCUCUUCAUGCUGCAAACCAUAUAUCACCUUAGAUUUUCCGGAUGUGCCACAACUCUGGGGGAUGCCAUCCCAGCCCUGGAAGUGGUGGUUUGGGUUUGGGCUUGGGUUUUUUGUUUGUUUGUUUUUUGAGAUAGGUUUGGUUUUGCUCUGUCACCCAAGCUGGAGCAAUACUUCCACUUCAGCCUUCCGAGUAGCUGGGUCUGCAGGCAUCGGCCACCAUGCCCAGCUAUUUUUUUUUUUUUUCCAGAGACAGAGUUUUCCCAUCUUGUCCAGGCUGGUCUCAAACUCCUGGGCUUGAGCAGUCCACCCACUUCAGUCUCCAGAGUGGUGGGAUUACAGGUCUGAACCACCUUACCCAGUCAGAAGUGGUGUUUUUGAAGACUUAUUUUGUUUUGUUUUGUUUUGUUUUUGAGAUAGAGUCAUGCUCUAUUGCCCAGGCUGGAGUACAGUGGUGGAGUCUCAGCUUACUUCAAUCUCCACCUCCCGGGUUCAAGUGAUUCUCCUGCCUCAGCCUUCCAAGCAGCUGGGAUUACAGGCAUCUGCCACCACACCCAGCUAAUUUUUGUAUUUUUAGUAGAGACAGGGUUUUAUCAUGUUGCCCAGGCUGGUCUUGAUCUCCUGACCUCAGAUGAUCCACCUGCCUCGGCCUCCCAAAGUGCUGGGAUUACAGGCAUAAACCACUGUGCCUGGCCUCUUUUUGGUUUAAGAUAAGGGAAAACACCAAAAAAAAAAAAAAAAAGAUAAGGGAAAACACCAUCCUCUUGGCCCUCAUGAACAUGAGGAAAACACACAGAGAUAACACACUCCAAAGAAAAUUCCCUUCUUAUGGCCACUUCAGUGCGAAGCCUUUUAUACCCUCAAGAUUGGUCUAAGGUUCAUAAGGCCAGUUUUUUAUUCUUGUAUUUGUAAAUCCUCUUUGGGAGGUAGCCAUUCUCUUUGGAAUGUGAGUGUUUACGAUAUCUACUAUUUUUCUCCUAAUUUUUGAGGGUAUAACUGAAACUAAGAAAGGAUCUCAUUAUAACAUUCUUUUUAACUUAUAUAUCCAGAGAAUACUUCUUCAAAAAAUAUUUUAAAAAAUGAAAAUUUCAACAAAUCUAAAGAUCUAAUUAGCUUUUAGUAGUGAUUCAUGAAUUGGGCAUCAUUCUGUCCAAAACAGAGGGAGCUCUGUUGGCCAUGCAGAAGAGUUGGUUUUUGUAAGGUAGCCUGAGCAGAAACGAGGAAACAGAAAAAUUUUAAAAAGUAGAUGGGUUAAGAUAAGUUUACGUCAAGGUACUUUCACUGUAAGGAUUAAAUCAUGUCCUUAUCACGUCAACCUGUUUUUAGGAAAAACUGGCCUGUUUGGGGAUUUCCUUGCUUCCUUAAAGUUUUAGCUUGAUUAUGUAGCACUUAGCAUGAAUGACUCCAUUUUGGUUUGGUCUGUUGGGGCCUGGUGCAAGAGCUCAGUCUAAAACAAUGGCCUCCUAUAAAUUUUAUUUAAUAAAGGAUACCUGAGAAAUGGAUGCCUACCUCCAGGGUUUGGGGAAAGGGUUGUGGAGGGAGACAUUUCACUGUAUAGCCUUUAACGCCUUUUAAAUCUUAUACCAUGUUCAUUUGUCACCUAUUCCACAUAUCUAAUCAUGUCCUAAAAUGCUUCCUGUUGCAAUAGCAGAAAAAAAAAACACACUAAAAAAAUGAGGUUUGGGCUGGGCACGGUGGCUCACACCUGUAAUCCCAGCACUUUGGGAGGCUGAGGCAGGUGGAUCACCUGAGGUCAGGGGUUCAAGACCAGCCUGAUCAACAUGGUGAAACCCCAUGGCUACUAAAAAUACAAAAUGAGCCAUGCAUGGUGGUGUGCACCUUAAUCCCAGCUACUUGAGAGGCUGAGGCAGGAGAAUCACUUGAACCCGCGAGGCAGAGGUUGCAGUGAGCCAAGAUCACGCCAUUGCACUCCAGCCUGGGCAAAAAGAGAAACUCCAUCUAAAAAACAGAAAAAAAAAACAAACAAAAACAAAUGAGGUUUGUUUUAAAAGCAAAAUUAUAACUCAAGGCACAAAGUGAAGAAUUGAUGUAUAUGUACAUUUACAUACCAAGAAAGGCACUUUGUCUUUAAUUCUCCAUAUAUCUUAGUUCUUCUUCUUUUUUUUUUUUUUUUUUUUUUGGCUAACUUACAUUGUCACAAUUCCUCACUGCUUAUUUACACCUUUCUGGUACCAUCAAACUGAUAAAUUAUGGUUGAUUUCAUUGUGCUUCAAUCUUGUUUACAUCUGAUUUUGAGUCAUAGAACUGCAAAAUUUGAAGGAAGCUUAAAUAUUAUUGUGUAAGUGUUCCUUGGGUCAUGGCUGACAAAGCUGAGGCCCUCAUACAGUCAUCACAGCAGAGACACACUCCAGGAAGCCUUUUGCAGAACAGUGAACCGGCCUGGCUUUUGUUGUGUAUGUUUGUUUCCUUUUUUUUUACGUUUAAUGCAAGUGUUGAAGAUAAAUGAAUGUACCCACUCUAUUAUAUAACACAAUGACAGCCUUUGUUCCUCCCUGGUGCUAUCCUUAGGGUAGGACUCAGUGUUUCUCUUUAUUUAUCAAAAGAAAGUUCAUUCUAUAAGGCACUAGAGGGAAGAUUUUGUAGAGAAGGUGGACUGGAGAGUUACAUCAUAUAACACACAGUAAAAUUUAAUGAAAGUCCCUGUUAAACAGUUUUGUUCUUCCCGUAAAUUCAUCUCCAGACAACAGCUGCCCCCUCUCCCUUAUAACCCUUUUUUCAGGCAGGCUGUUUAGGCCUGCCUGGUUACAAUCAGGUUUCCAGCCCCAGGGAUCUUCUUUCCAAACUCCUAAAUCACUCCUUUUUCUCCUGCAGAGUAAUUUAGCUCUCUCCUGGUUUCUUCAAUUUUGUAUCUUCACACCUGAAAUUCCGUUCAUCUAAUAAUCUACUUCCAUUAGAAGAAAGUAAGUAAUCCACAAAAUUUUUAAAAUAUUGGUUUUUAAAUUUAUCUAUUUAGGCCAGGCAUGAUGGCUCCCGCCUGUAAUCCCAGCACUUUAGGAUGCCGAGGCAGGCGAGUCACCUGAGGUCAGGAGUUUAAGACCAGCCUGGCCAACUUGGUGAAACCUCAUCUCCACUAAAAAUACAAAAAUUAGCUGGGCAUGGUGGCAGACACCUGUAAUCCCAGCUACUUGGGAGGCUGAGGCAGGAGAAUCGCUUGAACCCGGGAGGUGGAAGUUGCAGUGAGCCAAGAUCAUGUCACUGCACUCCAGCCUGGGCAACAAGAGUGAGACUCCAUCUCAAAAAAACAAAAGAAAUGAAAAAAUUUAUUUAUUUAUUUUAAGGCUAGUCAAGUGGAAGCAGUGGAAAUAGAAACAAAGAAAUCUGUAACUGGUUGUGAUCAAUUAGUUGUAAACACCACUGCACAGCCUAAAAAUAUUUGUCUCAAAAUAAUUUUUUCUUCAUGUCACAUUACAAGACAGCAACAAUAAGUAAGCACAGAGUCCGGGUUGAUACAGUUCAGGACAUUUGGUAUCGCAAAACCCCAGAAUAUUAGAGCUAUAAAGGCCCUGACUUAACAGAUGAAGAAACUGAGACCUAGAAUAAUAUCCUGUUAGUUGACCUCCAGAAUCUGUUUUCUCUUCUCCUACAGUGAUAGAUUUAUAGCUUGGUGUGGCCAUGACUAAAUUCUCACCAAUGGAAUGGAGACACAGGUGACUUGUGCAGAUUCCAAGUUGCCUGUUUAAAAGGAAGUUGUUGGCUGGGCGCGAUGGCUCACGCCUGCAAUCCCAACACUUUGGGAGGCCAAGGUGAGCGGAUCACGAGGUCAGGAAUUUGAGACCAGCCUGGCCAAUGUGGUGAAUCUCUACCAAAUGUGGCCAUCUCUACCAAAAAAAAAAAUACAAAAAUUAGCCGGGCAUGGUGGUGCAUGCCUGUAGUCCCAGGUACUUGGGAGGCUGAGGCAAAGAAUCUCUUGACCUGGGAGGCAGAGGUUGCAGCGAGCUGAGAUGAUACCACUGCACUCCAGCCUGGGCAACAGAGUGAGACCCUGUCUCAAGAAAAAUUAAAAAAAAAAAAUUUUUUUAAAGGAAGUUUCUUGUUCUUCAUCUCUUUUCCCCCAUUCUCUUGAACAAGAAAUCAGGCUUGAUAGCAACACAACUUGGAAGAUUCGGACAAAAAACGAUACCCUACCAUCUCGCUAUUCUGUGUGCUCCACGUGUAAGUAGCAUCAGCAUCACCUAAGAACUUGUUAGAAAGGUGGAAUCAUAGGACUCACUCCAGACAUACUGAAUCAGAGCCUGCAGUUUAACAAGAUGCUCAUGUGAUUCACCUUCAUAUUAAAGUUUGGGAAGAACUGAUUUAGAAAAUAGCAGAGCCAGGAGAUGGAAUCAGGAUUCCUGAUUGUCACAAGCUAAACUACACUGACAACUUGGACCACUUACUCCCCCCACCCCCAAUUUUCAAUUUUGGUAAAAUACACAUAACAUGAAAUUUACCACCUUAACCAUUUUUAAGUGUACUGUUUAGGGAUAUUAAGUACCUUGCAACCAUCACCACCAUCCAUUGCCUGAAUUCUUUCAUCUUGCAAAAUGGACACUUGAAACUCUACACCUAUUUUUUUGUUUUCUUUUGUUUUGUUUUGAGACAGAGUCUCACUCUGUCACCCCGGCUGGAGUGCAGUGGCGCAAUCUUAGCUCACUGCAACCUCUGCCCCCCCAGGUUCUAGCGAUUCUCCUGCCUCAGCCUCCUGAGUAGCUGGGAUUACACGCGCGUGCCACCACGCCCAGAUAAUUUUUGUAUUUUUAGUAGAGAUGGGGUUUCAUCAUGUUGGUCAGGCUGGUCUCGAAUUCCUGACCUCGUGAUCCGCCUGCCUCAGCCUCACAAAGUGCUGGGUUUACAGGCGUGAGCCACCUCACCCGGCCAAAACUCUAUACCUAUUAAACACCUCUCCGCUCACUCCUCCCACCAGCCCCCAGUAACCACUGUUCUACUUUCUCUUGAACUCAUCUAUUUUUGGAUUGUUGAGAGAGACUUAAGCCACGGUAUUUUGGGAUGUACUGCUCAGAUUUCCCCUUUUUAGGACCAAACCACUCAUUUUCUCAGCUACUGAGAGUAUUGGCAAAUGACAGACUAAGUUCAGUUCCUCUUCAGAAAUUGCCCUUGGCUGAAGAGAGAUACUUAACCCAAAGUCUUUCCAGAGUCAGUCAGUCCACAUCCAAUGGGUACAGCAGCCAAUGCAAGUAUUAAUACUAGUUGCCUUGCCCCAGUUUGGGAUAAUGCCAAGGGAUCAUUCCAACUACAGAGUUUCUCUUGAUUUAUUGCGAUUGCAUCACAAUUCAACUUUUUCCUCUGCCUAAUUCUUCCUUUCCUCCUCCACAGGGUUGAUCUGGUUAAUAUUCCCCAAUAAACAUCAUUUUGUAUCCUUGGCCUAGGCAUAAGAGCUGUACUAGUGAUGAAGGCCAUGACUCUACUCCCUCUCCCUCAUGAAGCCCCGGGCCCAGCCCCUGCCUGCCAAGAUAAUACAAAAUCAUAUACAUUUUGGGGGUAACGACAAAGAUUGGUGCUAUUUAUAUAAAGCCUAAAGGGUGCAGUGGCCAUGGUCCCCACAAUAUCUCCAUUCUAAAAAUCGGCCAAAACAUCUUCCAAAGUAACUGUAUUUUGCAUUCCCAGCAGCAUUUUGCAUUCCCAGCAGCAAUGAGUAAGAGUUUCAGCUUAUCAGUUAAAAAAAAAAAAGUAGUCAUUUUAAUCGGUGUGUAGUUGUAUCUCAUCAUAGUUUUAAGUUGCAUUUUUUUCUUCUUUUUUUUUUUUUUUUUUUUUUUUUUUUUUUUUUUUUUUUGAGAUAGGGCCUCACUCUGUCACCCAAGCUGGAAUACAGUGGUGCAAUCUCGGGUCACUGAAACCUCUGCCUCCUGGGCUCACAUGAUCCCCCACCUCAGCCUCCCAAGUAGUUGAAACCACAGGCACUUACCACCACACCCAGCUAUUUUUUUGUAUUUUUGGUACAGAUGGGGUUUCACCAUGUUGCCCAGGCUGGUCCUCCAACUCCUGAGCUCAAGUGAUCUCUCUGCCUUGGCCUUCUGAAGUGCUGGGAUUACAGGUGUGAGCCACUGAACCCAGCCUCAGUUGCAUUUCUUUAAUAACUACUAACAUUGAGCAUCUUUUCUUUUCUUUUCUUCUUUUUUUUUUGAGGCAGAGUUUCGUUCUUGUCGCCCAGGCUGCAGUGCAAUGGCGCCAUCUCUGCUCACUGCAACCUCUGCCUCCCAGGUUCAAGCGAUUCUCCUACCUCAGCCUCCCGAGUAGCUAGGAUUACAGAUGCCUGCCACCACGCUCAGCUAAUUUUUUGUAUUUUUAGUAGAGUCAGGGGUUUCACCAUGUUGGCCAUGCUGGUCUCUAAUUCCUGACCUCAAGUGAUCCACCCUCCUCAGCCUCCCAAAGUGCUAGGAUUAUAGGAAUGAGCCACCGUGCCUGGCCUUCAUGUUCUUAUUCUUCAUCUGUUCUAUUACUUGGUAAAGUGUCUUUUCAAUUCUUUUGCUUAUUUAAAAAAAAAUUGAAUUGUUUGUUUUCUUUUUUUUUUUGAGACAGAGUCUCACUCUGUCACCCAGGCUGGAGUGCAGUAGCGAGAUCUCGGCUCACUGCAACCUCUGCCUCCCAGGAUCAAGCAAUUCUCCUGUCUCAGCCUCCCAAGUAGCUUGGAGUACAGGCACACUCCAGCAUGCCUGGCUAACUUUUGUCUUUUUAGUAGAGAUGGGGUUUCACCAUACUGGUCAAGCUGGUCUCUCGAACUCCUGACCUCAGGUGAUCCACCCGCCUUGGCCUCCCAAAGUGCUGAGAUUACAGGCCUGAGCCACCGUGCCCGGCCUGUUUGUUUUCUUAUUAAGUUUUAAGAGUUCUUUGUGCAUUUUGGAUACACAUUCUUCAUCAGAUAUGUGUCUUGCAAAUAUUUUCUCCCAGUCUGUGACUUGUCUUUUCAUUUUUUACUGUUGUCUUUUGCAAAGCAGAAGUUUUUAAUUUUAACGAAAUUCAACUUAACAAUUUUUUUAUUUCGUGGACUAUGCUUUUGGUGUUGUAUCUAAAAGCUUAUUGUCGGCCAGGUGUGGUGCCGCACACCUGUAAUCCCAGCACUUUGGGAGGCCAAGACCAGUGGAUCACCUGAGGUCAGGAGUUCACGACCAGCCUAACAUGGUGAAACCCCAUUUCUACUAAAUACAAAAAAAUUAGCUGGGCCUGGUGGUGCAUGCCUGUAAUCCGAGCUACUUGGGAGGCUGAGACAGGAGAAUCGCUUGCAUCUGGGAGGUGGAGGUUGCAGUGAGCCGAGAUCGUGCCAUUACACUCCAGCCUGGGCAACAAGAGCGAAACUCCGUCUCACAAGGAAAAAAAAAAACAAAACAAUUUAUCACCAAACUCGAGGUCACCUAGAGAACACAGAAAUAUUUUCUUCCAGAGAUAUUACAGUUUUGCAUUUUACAUUUAGUUCUAAGAUCCACUUUGAGUUAAUUUUUGUGAAAGGUAUAAGGUGAGGUGUAUAUCUAGAUUCUUUCUUGCUUUCUUUUUCUCUUUUAUGCACACCAAAUCAUUCCAGCACCAUCUUUUCUCUAUUGAACUGCCUUUUCUUCUUUGCCAAGGAUCAGUUGGCUACAUUUGUGCUGGCCUAUUUCUGGGCUCUGUAGACUCUUCCAUGGAUCAAUGUGUCCUUCCUUCCUUCCUUCCUUCCUUCCUUCCUUCCUUCCUUCCUUCCUUCCUUCCUUCUUUCCUUCCUUCUUUCCUUCCUUUCUUCCUUCCCUCCCUCCCUCCUUUCUUUUCUUUUUCUUUUCUUUCUUUUCUUGAGAGACAGGGUCUUGCUUUGUCACCCAGGCUGGAGUGUGGAAUGCAGUGGUGCAAUCAUAGCUCACUGCAGCCUCGAACUCCUGGGCACAAGUGAUCCUCCCGCCUCAGCCUCCCAAGUAGCUAGGACUACAGGUGCGUGCCACCAUACCCAGAUAAUUUAUUUAAAAUUUUUUGUAGAGAUGGAAUCUUGUUACGUUGCCCAGGCUGGUCUUGAACUUCUGGCCUCAAGUGCUCCUCUCACUUCGACCUCCCAAAGUGCAGAGGUUAUAGGUGUGAGCUACUCGACCUGACCCUAUAUAUGUAUUCUUUUGUCACUACCAUGCCAUCUUUGCCCCUUAACUUUAUUGAGGUAUGAUUGACAAAUAAAAAUUGAAUAUUUUUAAGGUGUACAAUGUGAUGUUUUGAUAUAUGUGUACAUUGUGAAAUGAUUACCACAAUCAAGCUAACUGAUAUAUCUAUCAUAUCAUUUAGUUACCAUUGUGUGUGUGUGUGUGUGCGUGUGUCUGCAGUGUGAGAACACUUGAGUUCUACUCUCUUAGCAAAUUUCAAGUAUACUAUACAUUGUUAUUCACUAUAAUCACCAUGCUGAACAUUAAGUCUCCAGAACUCAUUCACCUUAUAACUAAAAGUUUGUACUCUUUGACUAAUUUCUUCCCUUUGCUCCCAUCCCCCAGCCCCUGGUAUCAUUCAUUCUACUCUCUGUUACUAUGGGUUCAACAUUUUUUUAGAUUCCACAUACAAGUGAGAUCAUGCCAUGCUGUCUUAAUUACUGUACCUUUAGAGUAAGUCUUGCUAUUAGAUGGUGUGAGUCUUCCAACUUUGUUCUUCUUCAGUAUUGUGUUGGCUAUUUUAGAUCUUUUGCUUUUCCAUACAAACUUCAGAAUCAUUUUGUUGGCCAGGCACGGUGGCUUACACCUGUAAUCUCAGCACUUUGGGAGGCCGAGGCAGGUGGAUCACCUGAGGUUGGGAGUUCAACACCAGCCUGGCCAACGUGGUGAAACCCCAUCUCUACUAAAAAUACAAAAAUUAGCCAGGUGUGGUGGCACGCACCUGUAAUCCCAGCUACUCGGGAGGCUGAGGCAGGAGAAUCGCUUGAACCCAGGAGGUGGAGUUUGCAGUGAG